rnacentral:rRNA from 1 species
UACGAAGGGGGGCUAGCGUUGCUCGGAUUGACUGGGCGUAAAGGGCGCGUAGGCGGAUAGUACAGUCAGGCGUGAAAUUCCUGGGCUCAACCUGGGGGCUGCGUUUGAUACGUAUUGUCUGGAGUUCGGAAGAGGGUCGUGGAAUUCCCAGUGUAGAGGUGAAAUUCGUAGAUAUUGGGAAGAACACCGGUGGCGAAGGCGCCUAUCUGGCCCGAUACUGACGCUGAGGCGCGAAAGCUAGGGGAGCAAACGGGG